rnacentral:rRNA from 1 species
AUCGUAACUCCUACGGGAGGCAGCAGUGGGGAAUUUUGGACAAUGGGGGCAACCCUGAUCCAGCAAUGCCGCGUGAGUGAAGAAGGCCUUCGGGUUGUAAAGCUCUAUCAGCAGGGACGAUAAUGACGGUACCUGACUAAGAAGCCCCGGCUAACUACGUGCCAGCAGCCGCGGUAAUACGUAGGUGGCGAGCGUUGUCCGGAUUUACUGGGCGUAAAGGGAGCGUGGGCGGAUUUUUAAGUGAGAAGUGAAAUACCCGGGCUCAACUUGGGUGCUGCAUUUCAAACUGGAAGUCUAGAGUGCAGGAGAGGAGAGUGGAAUUCCAAGUGUAGCGGUGAAAUGCGUAGAGAUUAGGAAGAACACCAGUGGCGAAGGCGACUCUCUGGACUGUAACUGACGCUGAGGCUCGAAAGCGUGGGGAGCAAACAGGAUUAGAUACCCGUGUAGUCCUAGAGC